GGUGCUCUGACUUCCAGAGGAAACGUGUGUUUUUCCCAUGGAGGUGGGGGCACAGCUUCUCAGCCUAUGCCAGCAGCAAUGUCAUACCCCAAAAGAAAGCGAUCCAUGAGUAUAGAUUAGGAUCCCAUCUGUACCAACAGCCACCACUGCUCUUUGCAAUCCUACUAUGACUGAAGAUCACAAGACGGGAGGAGACAUUCACUGUUUCAUACUGAAAGAUGGUUUUAUCCCUGUCUAGAGGAUGGAAAAUACAUGACAGAAUGGACUUCAGAAGUAACAGAGGAAGUCCUUGCUUCUAGAGCUGUCACUGAAGGCAGCAUAUGGCUCUCCUGCAGUCGGGGAAGGAUCCCACAGUGUGACCUAGCUAGCCUCCACACCUCUGAUUCCUGUUACCCCUGCACAGAGGUUACCACUUUCAGCUAGGAGGCUCUGUGCAGCGCCCAUUCCCCGGAGUGCUUAUCUGGUAAGUUACCUUAACCCAGGCUAAUGAGCAGAGCAGCCAGUAAAAGGAAUCCCAGGGGCGGGUGGAUGGGUGAGGAGCUGCAUUAGCUGAUCACUAACGUUGUUUAUUUCUGUGUAAAAAUAAAAGGCCAUGAGCUGUGAUUGUGUACAUCUGCAGUCAGUCAGUGCUUGGUCUUGAGGAUGAAGACAAAAUCAAAAGACAGCAAGAUGUACCAGAAGGCUGAACAGACUUACAGAGUCAGAACUGAAAGUGCAUGUGGUCUGAAGAAUCUCAUUUUUAGGGCAAAUAUUGGUAGUAAUAAAAGCAUCGCUAUUGACUUGGGGUCAAAACUUCAGUCAUUUCUGCCAUCACAUGUCCUACUGUAACCACUUCUGAGAUGCUGGAGAACUGCUGUAAUAUUCAUAUUCUAACAACUUAGAUAAAAAGACUGAUAGCAGUCCUGUUUCCUUAAGCCAGUUACAUCCUACCUGCAGCCUGUGAGCUGCACACUGCCUGGCCCAGCGUGCAAUUUGGCUACUGUCUGCCUGUGCCAUCAUGGCGGCCCUGGGCGUGCACCCAUUCCUCAGCAACAACCAAACAUCAGUGUGCUAUUAACGCUGUCUGGGAUGAAACCAGGG
ensembl:lncRNA